rnacentral:rRNA from 1 species
ACGGCGAGCGACCGCGCAAGCCCAACUUGAAAAUCUCCCUUGGAGAAUUGUAGUCUAUAGAAGUACCCUCUGUAACGGGCGCAGCUCAAGUCUCCUGGAAAGGGGCGUCAGAGAGGGUGAGAACCCCGUAAGCUGUUGCUUCGUUGCCUCACGAGGUGCUUUCAAAGAGUCGGGUUGCUUGGGAAUGCAGCCCAAAUUUGGUGGUAAAUCCCAUCUAAGGCUAAAUAUUGGCGAGAGACCGAUAGCGAACAAGUACCGUGAGGGAAAGAUGAAAAGAACUUUGAAAAGAGAGUUAAAAAGUGCUUGAAAUUGUUGAGGGGGAAGCGUUUGAAUGCUAGAGUGCGCCUAGGCUUAUGGGUUCUUAACGGAGCUCUGUAUGUGCUAGGUGCUGGCCAGCAUGGGUUAGGCGAGCGGGAUAAACGCUGGGGUUGAUACCCGGUCUAUGCCGCUUGCUUGACCAAGGCGUGAAGACUGCCCUUGUCCUUCGGGAACUGCAGUCUCAAGAUGCUGGCAAAAGGCUUUCAACCGACCCGUCUUGAAACACGGACCAAGGAGUCUAACAUGUAUGCGAGUUGGUGGGUGGAAAACCCAUGAAGCGUAAGGAAACUGACUGGUGAGAUGGCCUGUGCCUGCAUCAUCGACCGACCAUGCGUUUCUGCAAAAGGUUUGAGUGCGAGCAUACCUGUUGGGACCCGAAAGAUGGUGAACUAUGCCUGAGCAGGGUGAAGCCAGGUGAAAACCUGGUGGAGGCUCGUAGAUGUGCUGACGUGCAAAUCGCUUUUCGGACUUGGGUAUAGGGGCGAAAGACUAA